rnacentral:sRNA from 1 species
CCCCGCCUGGGGAGUACGACCGCAAGGUUAAAACUCAAAUGAAUUGACGGGGACCCGCACAAUUAGUGGAGCAUGUGGUUUAAUUCGAAGAUACGCGCAAAACCUUACCAACACUUGACAUGUUCGUCGCGACUCUAAGAGAUUAGAGUUUUCGGUUCGGCCGGACGAAACACAGGUGCUGCAUGGCUGUCGUCAGCUCGUGUCGUGAGAUGUUGGGUUAAGUCCCGCAACGAGCGCAACCCUCACUUUUAGUUGCCAUCAUUUAGUUGGGCACUCUGAAAGAACUGCCAGUGAUAAGCUGGAGGAAGGUGGGGAUGACGUCAAGUCCUCAUGGCCCUUACGUGUUGGGCUACACACGUGCUACAAUGGUAUCUACAACAGGAAGCAAGACUGCGAGGUCAAGCAAAUCCUUAAAAGAUACCUCAGUUCGGAUUGCACUCUGCAACUCGAGUGCAUGAAGCUGGAAUUACUAGUAAUCGUGGAUCAGCGUGCCACGGUGAAUGCGUUCCCGGGUCUUGUACACACCGCCCGUCACACCAUGGGAGUUGGUUCUACCUUAAGGCAAGGUUUAAAACCCUUGACCACGGUAUAGUCAGCGACUGGGGUGAAGUCGUAACAAGGUAGCCGUAGGGGAACCUGCGGCUGGAUUACCUCCUUUCUAAGGAUGAAUGAAAUUAAAAUUUCAUUCUAAAUAAUAUACAGGUAAUGUUGACCGUCCUCAUUUCUCUUCUUAAAGUAGUGUUUCUCUUGCAUGGGGGCCGGUAGCUCAGUUGGUUAGAGCACACCCUUGAUAAGGGUGGGGUCGAAAGUUCGAGUCUUUCUCGGCCCACCAAUUUAAGAUCAUGGGGGAUUAGCUCAGCUGGGAGAGCGCCUGAUUUGCAUUCAGGAGGUCAGCGGUUCGAUCCCGCUAUCCUCCACCAAACACUUAGCUAUAUGAAAUCGUAAAAAUUUAUAAUUAAUAUCAAUAUCUAUAUCCGAACAUUAGUAAUGUUAUUAGCUAGUGUUCAAAUAAAAAUUUGAUUCUACACAGAAUUUUUUUCUG